rnacentral:rRNA from 1 species
AUAUCAAUAAGCGGAGGAAAAGAAACUAACAAGGAUUCCCCUAGUAACGGCGAGUGAAGCGGGAUGAGCUCAAAUUUAAAAUCUGGCAGUCUUUGAUUGUCCGAGUUGUAAUCUAGAGAAGUGUUUCCGCGCUGGACCAUGUACAAGUUUCCUGGAACGGAACGUCAUAGAGGGUGAGAAUCCCGUCCUUGACAUGGACUCCCAGUGCUAUGUGAUACACUCUCAACGAGUCGAGUUGUUUGGGAUUGCAGCUCUAAGUGGGUGGUAAAUUCCAUCUAAGGCUAAAUACUGGUGGGAGACCGAUAGCGCACAAGUA